GCUUGUCUCAAAGAUUAAGCCAUGCAUGUCUAAGUAUAAACUAAUUUAUACGGUGAAACUGCGAAUGGCUCAUUAAAUCAGUUAUAGUUUAUUUGAUGGUUGAUUACUACGUGGAUAACCGUGGUAAUUCUAGAGCUAAUACAUGCCUACAAGCCCGACUUCUGGAAGGGUGGUAUUUAUUAGAUAAAAAAUCAAUACCUGUUCUGCAGGUCCUAUUGGUGAGUCAUAAUAACUGUUCGAAUCGCAUGCUUCGGCAGGCGAUAGUUCAUUCAAAUUUCUGCCCUAUCAGCUUUCGACGGUAGUGUAGUGGACUACCGUGGCGUUAACGGGUAACGGAGAAUUAGGGUUCGAUUCCGGAGAGGGAGCCUGAGAAAUGGCUACCACAUCCAAGGAAGGCAGCAGG
rnacentral:rRNA from 1 species